GCAACACAGAAACUCUGUGCAGUGAAUACAAAUAUUACUGUGAAGAAUGUCGCAGCAAACAGGAAGCACACAAACGAACAAUCUCAAGCUCAAAGAAAAGUUGUAUGAACAGUACCAAGAAUGCUUUUUUACCCAAAACCACUCAAACGUAAGGGGUACAGAUCUGUGAAUUGCCAGGUUUACACAUUUCAC